rnacentral:rRNA from 1 species
UACGGAGGGGGCUAGCGAUGUUCGGAAUCACUGGGCGUAAAGCGCACGCAGGCGGAGCGAUAAGUCGGGGGUGAAAGCCCGGGGCUCAACCUCGGAAUUGCCUUCGAUACUGUCGGUCUCGAGUCCGGGAGAGGUGAGUGGAAUUCCUAGUGUAGAGGUGGAAUUCGUAGAUAUUAGGAAGAACACCAGUGGCGUAGGUGGCUCACUGGCCCGGUACUGACGAUCACGUGCGAAAGCCUGGGGAGCAAACAGG